rnacentral:rRNA from 2 species
AGAAAGCCACGGCUAACUACGUGCCAGCAGCCGCGGUAAUACGUAGGUGGCAAGCGUUGUCCGGAAUUAUUGGGCGUAAAGGGCUCGCAGGCGGUUUCUUAAGUCUGAUGUGAAAGCCCCCCGGCUCAACCGGGGAGGGUCAUUGGAAACUGGGAAACUUGAGUGCAGAAGAGGAGAGUGGAAUUCCACGUGUAGCGGUGAAAUGCGUAGAGAUGUGGAGGAACACCAGUGGCGAAGGCGACUCUCUGGUCUGUAACUGACGCUGAGGAGCGAAAGCGUGGGGAGCGAACAGGAUUAGAUACCCUGGUAGUCCACGCCGUAAACGAUGAGUGCUAAGUGUUAGGGGGUUUCCGCCCCUUAGUG